ACAAUACUUAAUUUUUCACUGUUUGUCAUGGUGCAUAUUUAGCAUUUCUUCUGUCCUUUAUCAAUCUGCUCUCCUAUCACAUGGGCACAUCAAGAAGAUAUAUAGUAACAUGAAGGCACAUUGGGCCUGGGGUUUACAGCUUCCAAUUCCUUGUUCUGGAGGACUGGAGUGGAAGUGAGAACAUGUAGAGAAAGAAGAAGAGGAAUUAAAUGUAAGACCUAGGUUGUCCAAGGGAGUGGAGGUGUUUCAGCAAUAGGCCUCCCAGACCUGACCUGUUCCCUGACCGCCUUCCCCGGCUCGUCCCUGUCUCCUGCCAGAGUCCACAGAGCUUCAGGAAAGGCCGUUAUUUGCGCCGACAGGGGAGCAGGAGCGGAGGGCUGUGUUGCGUGUCGGUGCUGGGGCCUGGGAGGAAGGCUGCUGCUAGCUCCCGCGGGAACACCAGAGGGGCCAGCUUUGCUUACAGCUCCGCGUUUGCCAGCGGAGAUGCGCACACCCAGCACAUUCCUGUGUGUGGCCUUAGUCCCUUAGCACGCUGCUAAAUAGAUCUCAAAACUCUGGACCCUGCCAAAGGCGCACGCACAAAUAAAACUGAGCUGCCCCUCA
rnacentral:lncRNA from 1 species